GACGAACGCUGGCGGCGUGCUUAACACAUGCAAGUCGAACGGUAAGGCCCUUCGGGGUACACGAGUGGCGAACGGGUGAGUAACACGUGGGUGAUCCGCCCUGCACUUCGGGAUAAGCCUGGGAAACUGGGUCUAAUAUCGGAUAGGACCACUGCCUGCAUGGGUGGUGGUGGAAAGCUUUUGCGGUGUGGGAUGGGCCCGCGGCCUAUCAGCUUGUUGGUGGGGUGAUGGCCUACCAAGGCGACGACGGGUAGCCGGCCUGAGAGGGUGACCGGCCACACUGGGACUGAGAUACGGCCCAGACUCCUACGGGAGGCAGCAGUGGGGAAUAUUGCACAAUGGGCGCAAGCCUGAUGCGGCGACGCCGCGUGAGGGAUGACGGCCUUCGGGUUGUAAACCUCUUUCAGCACCGACGAAGCGCAAGUGACGGUAGGUGCAGAAGAAGGACCGGCCAACUACGUGCCAGCCGCCGCAGUAA
rnacentral:rRNA from 1 species